rnacentral:tRNA from 1 species
UAGCUCAGUUGGUAGAGUGCUUGCCUAGCAUGCAUAAGACCCUGGGUUCAAUCCCCAG